rnacentral:lncRNA from 1 species
GUUUCUUUGAUCUUGUGCAACCUAUUUGGACCGAUGAUAGCCCGCGGAUAGGUGUGGAAACCCAUCUAUAUUGCACCCAGUAUGACACAGAAAAAAAGCCCAGGGCCUAGGGGUCGGGUGGGGCUCGUUCGGGGUGCACAACGGUUGCGCCAAAAACGGUCCAAAAAUGGCCAAGGCUUUACCAUACGAAAAAUCGGCCGAUUUUUAACCAUGUGAGAAACGUCCCGAAAAUUCACAGAUAACUACUAGGAGGCCUCACUCUGAGUAAUAUCAAAGUUUUUUCCCACAAAACCGCUCGGAGAUGCCCAACUCAGUUUUUAUUUUCGUCCCAAUACUUUUCUUCCAAUGGACUAGUUGUGUUUCUUUGAUCUUGUGCAACCUAUUUAGGCCGAUGAUAGCCGCGGAUAGGGUGGAAACCCAUCUAUAUUGCACCCAGUACGACACAGAAAAAAAGCCCAGGGCCUAGGGGUCGGGUGGGGCUCGUUCGGGGUGCACAACGGUUGCGCCAAAAACGGUCCAAAAAUGGCCAAGGCUUUACCAUACGAAAAAUCGGCCGAUUUUUAACCAUGUGAGAAACGUCCCGAAAAUUCACAGAUAACUACUAGGAGGCCUCACUCUGAGUAAUAUCAAAGUUUUUUCCCACAAGAACCGCUCGGAGAUGCCCGGACUCAGUUUUUAUUUUCGUCCCAAUACUUUUCUUCCAAUGGACUAGUUGUGUUUCUUUGAUCUUGUGCAACCUCUUUAGGCCGAUGAUAGCCCGCGGAUAGGUGUGGAAACCCAUCUAUAUUGCACCCAGUACGACACAGAAAAAAAGCCCAGGGCCUAGGGGUCGGGUGGGGCUCGUUCGGGGUGCACAACGGUUGCGCCAAAAACGGUCCAAAAAUGGCCAAGGCUUUACCAUACGAAAAAUCGGCCGAUUUUUAACCAUGUGAGAAACGUCCCGAAAAUUCACAGAUAACUACUAGGAGGCCUCACUCUGAGUAAUAUCAAAGUUUUUUCCCACAAGAACCGCUCGGAGAUGCCCGGACUCAGUUUUUAUUUUCGUCCCAAUACUUUUCUUCCAAUGGACUAGUUGUGUUUCUUUGAUCUUGUGCAACCUCUUUAGGCCGAUGAUAGCCCGCGGAUAGGUGUGGAAACCCAUCUAUAUUGCACCCAGUACGACACAGAAAAAAAGCCCAGGGCCUAGGGGUCGGGUGGGGCUCGUUCGGGGUGCACAACGGUUGCGCCAAAAACGGUCCAAAAAUGGCCAAGGCUUUACCAUACGAAAAAUCGGCCGAUUUUUAACCAUGUGAGAAACGUCCCGAAAAUUCACAGAUAACUACUAGGAGGCCUCACUCUGAGUAAUAUCAAAGUUUUUUCCCACAAGAACCGCUCGGAGAUGCCCAGCUCAGUUUUUAUUUUCGUCCCAAUACUUUUCUUCCAUGGACUAGUUGUGUUUCUUUGAUCUUGUGCAACCUAUUUAGGCCGAUGAUAGCCCGCGGAUAGGUGUGGAAACCCAUCUAUAUUGCACCCAGUAUGACACAGAAAAAAAGCCCAGGGCCUAGGGGUCGGGUGGGGCUCGUUCGGGGUGCACAACGGUUGCGCCAAAAACGGUCCAAAAAUGGCCAAGGCUUUACCAUACGAAAAAUCGGCCGAUUUUUAACCAUGUGAGAAACGUCCCGAAAAUUCACAGAUAACUACUAGGAGGCCUCACUCUGAGUAAUAUCAAAGUUUUUCCCACAAGAACCGCUCGGAGAUGCCCGGACUCAGUUUUUAUUUUCGUCCCAAUACUUUUCUUCCAAUGGACUAGUUGUGUUUCUUUGAUCUUGUGCAACCUCUUUAGGCCGAUGAUAGCCCGCGGAUAGGUGUGGAAACCCAUCUAUAUUGCACCCAGUAUGACACAGAAAAAAAGCCCAGGGCCUAGGGGUCGGGUGGGGCUCGUUCGGGGUGCACAACGGUUGCGCCAAAAACGGUCCAAAAAUGGCCAAGGCUUUACCAUACCGAAAAUCGGCCGAUUUUUAACCAUGUGAGAAACGUCCCGAAAAUUCACAGAUAACUACUAGGAGGCCUCACUCUGAGUAAUAUCAAAGUUUUCUCCCACAAGAACCGCUCGGAGAUGCCCGA